ACAGUGGACGCGAGCAUCUUUGUUGUAAGUGUUUAAGAGCGUACGGUGGAUGCCUUGGCACCAGGAGCCGAUGAAGGACGUAGGAGGCUGCGAUAAGCCUCGGGGAGCUGUCAACCGAGCUGAGAUCCGAGGAUGUCCGAAUGGGGAAACCCAGCCACAGUGAUGUGUGGUUACCCGCGCCUGAAUAUAUAGGGCGUGAGGAGGGAACGUGGGGAAGUGAACAUCUCAGUACCCACAGGAAGAGAAAACAACAUGUGAUUCCGUGAGUAGUGGCGAGCGAAAGCGGAAGAGGCUAAACCAUGGGUGUGUGAUAGCCGGCGGGCGUUGCAUUCGUGGGGUUGUGGGAUCCGUCUUGUCAAUUCUGCCGGAUUGGCCGACAGUGAGAAAUCAUCGUGUUAGUCGAAGUGGUCUGGAACGGCCUGUCGUAGAGGGUGAGAGUCCCGUAGACGAAAACAUGGUGACUGUCGUGACGGACACCGAGUAGCAGCGGGCCCGUGAAAUCUGCUGUGAAAUCUGUCGGGACCACCCGAUAAGCC
rnacentral:rRNA from 1 species